CACACACACACACACACACACAGACACACACACACAUAUAUAUAAAUUUUACACUUGGAAGAACAUUCUUUUAUCUUCUUAAGACAGCAACAAGGACACAAUUCAAAGAGUUCAUAUUUUCUCAUAGAACUCCUUUUUUUGCUAAGCACAGCAAAACUAAACUGUUUAUGUGCGUGAGCACACAAGACUCUGCAGCUCACAGACAGGAUACAGCUGUCGGUGGAUCACAGGACCCUCGGCACAGACCCCAUCAGACAGGAGGAUGCCGGGGAGUAUCAUGUGAGGCCUCCAACCCCGCCAGUUCCACCAGGAGUGACCGCUACAGACUGGCUGUGAUCUCACAAGAGAGGACCCCAGGCCUCCCUGUGGGGGCCGUCGCUGGCAUCGUGACUGGGGUCCUGGUCGGGGUGGCUCUAGUGGCUGCUCUGGGGUGUUUCCUGCUCCACACAAGAACUGGAAGGUACCCAGGCUUCCCCCACCUGAUCCCACCCCAGGUGACCCCAGGCCUGAGGGAAGGAGACCCAUCCUCAGACUCUGGCCUGACUCUGUCCUCCCCACUUCCCGAGGACACCAUCCUCUCAUCAGCCCCAGAUCCUCCUCACCAGCUGGUGGCCCUGGGCUGCUGCCUCAACAGCUCCCUCCUCUGUGUGCUGGUCACUAGGGACCUGUCCCCACAGCACUGUCCUUUCCUCACAGGGCCAAGGUGCCGCAUUUCCUGCUCAGAAUUGCCAUGUCCUAGUUUAUUUCAUUCACCCAAAGUGAGGGGUGAAGCUGUGUAUCUGAGGGGUGGUCUUUCCCAGGUCACUCAACACAAGUAGAGGGGCCUUGAAGGCUGGUGUGGUCGGCCCUCCUCAGCAGCUGGGUUCCCCACGACCCCUGAUAUGUAGAUGGGAGUCCAAAGACUCACCAGGAUAGUAUGUCCUGGAAUGCCUUUUGCCUUAUGGCCAGGUGGGUGGACAGAGGACAAGGCCACUGUCACAUUUCAGCACAUCCUGGUCUGAGAAGAGUGUGUGGCCACAGCAGGGACACUGAGGUCAGGAAGAGUAAACAUGGACGUGGCUCCCCCAGUGUCCUGCCCACAGAGUGUCCCUACUUUCCUGCCCCCAGGGCCUGGACCCUUCCACGCAGUCAAACCCUCCUGCUCUAAUUCUUCCUCAUCCCUCAGUCCGUUUUCUGGGUCCCUCGGCCAAUGUUCUCCUGGGUCUGCAUCUGGAAGGGACGGUCACCUCUGGCCCAGGGCAGAAGGGGCUUCUUAAGGCUUUUCCUCAGCUCCCCUCUCCUGGGCCCCUGUGUAUACAGACCUGAUGGAGUAAGAAAGGUUUCACACCCUCCUUGGAAAUGGGGUACCCUCCUCAUCUCCUAUCUGACCCCCGAUCAUGACCUCUCCCUGCACACUCAUGAUUAAGCCUGACCUUUCCUGGGGUUGGUGCCCAGCAUGGCCUCAGAGACCACCGCACCCCAGCAUCAAGACCUGGGGACCCCUGAGGCUAGAAGCUACAGAGGGGAUGCUCAAAUCUUCUAUCAGUCAUUCUGAGUUAAUGAUGGGGGACAACCUGUGGACAGAAACUGGGCUGUCUCUCCAGAAGCGGAGGCUGGUGCUCAGGACUCGGAGCUGGUAACCUCUGAGAGUGAAGGUCUAAAGCAAACACAGGGAGUAAGCUCUGGCCUGUCAGGGACCAGAACCUUCAAGCACCACCUUCUACUGCUCCCUGGAGUCUCAGCCUUGAUGACCCUCCCUUGGUGAUACUGAUGUCCACUCUCCUUCCCUGCCCAGGCCCCCAUCCCUGGUCACAGAGUUGCUGUUCCCAUUUACCAGGAAUUACUAAACCCUGACGUGGACAUCUACUGCCGGGUCAACCACAAGGCUGAUGUGGCUUCUUAGUUCCCACCAGACAAGGCCCAGAUGGGCUGAGGGAGGGUCCCACUAGGACCACAGACUUUGGGUGAUGGGGCAGAAGUGCAACCAGAGCCCUGGGAGACUCUGGCACCUUGAAGCGCUAUAGGGUCCCUGGGUUCCUGGAGACCCAGACAGGCUGCCCUGGGCUCUGAAUGGCCAGAACCAGGCUGCCCGUGCCCAGGAGGAGGGGCUUCAGGGAGAGGGAAGGGCCCUGGGGGUCACCUGGGAAGGCGCUGAAUAAAGACCCCCUUCCCUCCUU